GACGAACGCUGGCGGCGUGCUUAACACAUGCAAGUCGAGCGGUAAGGCCCUUUCGGGGGUACACGAGCGGCGAACGGGUGAGUAACACGUGGGUGACCUGCCUUCAGCUCUGGGAUAAGCCUGGGAAACUGGGUCUAAUACCGGAUAUGACCUUCUGCCGCAUGGUGGGGGUGGAAAGUCCUGGGCUUCAUUGUCUGGGUUCGGCUGGGAUGGGCCCGCGGCCUAUCAGCUUGUUGGUGGGGGAU
rnacentral:rRNA from 1 species